rnacentral:lncRNA from 1 species
GAAACAGGUGAAUUGUUAAUUGGUUUCCCUCUGUUAUUUACUGUUGAUUUGUAUGCUAAAUUACCUCAUAUGCUGUAGGAUGUUUUGUAAUGCAUGAUAACAUAAUCUUUAUUACUAUACAAACAAAGGUUAUUAUAAAAAAGUUAUGUGAUACUAAAAACUGUUGUAAUAUAUAUAUAUAAAAAAAUUGCAUUUAUAAAGCUACAUAUUUUACAUUUCAUAUUUAUUACCCAUCUUAGAUAAUUGUGAAUUAAGUGUAAUAAUAUGUGUGUCAAUCUAUUUUCAAAUCCAUAUCCGGUUAAAGUUUUGGUGUAAUGUAGUUUACCAUGAAGUUGUGGUCAAAUCAAUUUCAAGUUAGUGCACAUGUUCAUUAUGAUAUAAAAUGUACCAACAAAGAUAUUGGACUCCAAGGAAACUAAAAAAUAGGAAAGUAAACAUGACAAAUAAAGGGAACAGAAGUAUACCGCUUUUUAAUAGUCAUAAAUCGAAUAAGUGAAAACAUAUCCAGGUAACAAACUAAAUUGAAGGAAACACAUCAACUAUAAGAGGGAAACAAUAGAACAAAAAAUACUAAACUGCAACAAAAACAAAGGCAUAAAUUAAAACAAACUAUUUGAUAACAUUUGCCACUUUCCUGAGUUGAUACAGGACAUUUUUUCUUGAAAUGGUGGGUUGAACGUUGUAUAUGGCUAGCCAGACCUCCUGUUAUAUGGCAAUGUUAAAAAUUUAGAUGCUCUAUUCAACCAAGGAAAUGACUAGAAGACAUACAUAUUUUGGUCAACAUAUUAAUUUUUAUAAAAUUAUUAAGGAGAUGUGGUUUGAUUUGUGGUUUCAGGCAAAUAUAGAAAAUCGUCUGUAUAUAAAACUUUGAACUUAUUUAAGCUUUUAUUGACCCAAUCCUAUCAAGAUUGACAAAAUGUAUGCAUAUCCGUCUAUUGACAUGCAUACAUUUUGAUACAAUAGUUGUUAUCCAUUCGUUUGAUAUGUUUGAGCUUUUGAUAUUGCCAUUUGAUAAGGGGAACUUUCCGUUUUGAAUUUCUCACAGAGUUCAGUAUUUUUGUGAUUUUACUUUUAUUAAGGAUCGGAUUGGAAAAGGAACAAAAGACUAUAUUGUUGAGCUUUUUCCUCUUCUGUUCUAAAGCAUGUUAAACAGAUUUCAUAUAAACAAAUUAUAAGCUAUAAUAAAUGUGAAUACUUGAUCAAUCAAUCAAUCAUUCUGAUGGGCAUUACGAUGAUACAUUAUAACUGAGUGCUGUCUAACUAAGUUCUUAAAUACUUACUUGAAAUCUUGGACUAUUUAUUGAUCAUUUUAAUCAUUGUUACGAUAUAUCACAAUUUGAAUAAAUUAUAUAGAUUGUAUUUGUUUUUAUGCACCAUUUAUGGGCAUUAUGUUUUCUGGUCUGUGCGUCCGUUCGUUUGUCGAUCCGUUCGUCAGUCUGUCUGUC